rnacentral:rRNA from 1 species
GGGCCCGCACAAGCGGUGGAUUAUGUGGAUUAAUUCGAUGCAACGCGAAGAACCUUACCUGGCCUUGACAUGUACCGAAUUUAGCAGAGAUGCUUUAGUGCUCGUAAGAGAACGGUAACACAGGUGCUGCAUGGCUGUCGUCAGCUCGUGUCGUGAGAUGUUGGGUUAAGUCCCGCAACGAGCGCAACCCUUGCCAUUAAUUGCCAUCAUUUAGUUGGGCACUUUAAUGGGACUGCCGGUGACAAACCGGAGGAAGGUGGGGGAUGACGUCAAGUCCUCAUGGCCCUUAUGGCCAGGGGCUUCACACGUAAUACAAUGGAUGGUACAGAGGGAUGCCAACCCGCGAGGGGGAGCC